AGCGGAGCGUGUGGUUUAAUUCGAUGCAACGCGAAGAACCUUACCUGGGCUUGACAUGUACGUAGUAGUGAAGGGAAACCGGAACGAGCCUUCGGGCAGCGUAGACAGGUGCUGCAUGGCUGUCGUCAGCUCGUGUCGUGAGAUGUUGGGUUAAGUCCCGCAACGAGCGCAACCCGUGUUGCUAGUUACAAGUGUCUAGCGAGACUGCCGGUAAAAAGCCGGAGGAAGGUGCGGAUGAUGUCAAGUCAGCAUGGCCUAUAUGUCCAGGGCUACACACACGCUACAAUGG
rnacentral:rRNA from 1 species